GUUGAACGCUGGCGGCAGGCCUAACACAUGCAAGUCGAACGGUAACAGGAAGAAGCUUGCUUCUUUGCUGACGAGUGGCGGACGGGUGAGUAAUGUCUGGGAAACUGCCUGAUGGGGGGGGAUAACUACUGGAAACGGUAGCUAAUACCGCAUAACGUCUCAAGCCCAAAAAGGGGGAGCUUCGGGCCGCUUGCCAUCGGAUGUGCCCAGCUGGGAAUAGCUAGUAGGUGGGGUAACGGCUCACCUAGUCGACGAUCCCUAGCCGGUCUGAGAGGAUGACAAGCGACACUGGAACUGGGACACGGUCCAGACUCCUACGGGAGGGAGCAGUGGGGAAUAGUGGACAGUAGGCGCAAGCCUGACGCAGCGAUGGCGCGUGUAUGAAGAAGGCCUUCGGGUUGUAAAGUACGUUCAGCGGGGAGGAAGGGAGUAAGGUUAAUACCUUUGCUGAUUGACGGUACCCGCAGAAGAAGCACCGGCUAACUCCGUG
rnacentral:rRNA from 1 species